CCAAGCUUGAUGGUGGUGGUGGUGUCGAUGGCGAUGGCGGUGUACGGAAGAUCGUGAGCGUGUGAGACAGAAAGGAGUAGAACAGACAAGAGAUGGAUGAUAACGGGGCUGGAGCAAAAAAAGAUAAAAAAGAAAAAGAGGACGAAAAUGUCUCCUCCUCUCUUGACGAAAAUUACAUUACCGAACGGGUGUAAUGUAUGAUGUUACGCUUGGGGACAAAGAAGAGGCACCAAAUUUGUUAGGAUCGUUUUUGUGGUGGGUUGUGGUGUGUGUAUGUGUGUACGUUGGUUGUUAUACGUGUUGCUGAAAUGCUGCUGCUGCUGCUGCUGCCUUUCGAUGUCUUAUCCUCGAGGGGGGAAAGAAUGUGUUGUGUAUGUGUGUGCGGUAAAAUGCGAGAAAGUUUGGCCGAACUGAUAGCAAGCGCACGCUGCAAGGGGAAGAAAAGUAGGAAAAAAUAACGUUAAACGGUAUAAGAAGCGCUUGAAAACUACGAGGCGCCUCCAUAUUACUGUGUGGCUGUGAAGGAAGGACGAAAAAAAAAGAAACGAAGCUCACAACAUCAAAGUAACACUUGAAGUGGCGCUGUGUGUUUUGCCUGCGUUCGGGGACGAGUGAUAUUGAAACGCGGGUUUUCGGUAGGACGGCUUCUUCAACGUGCGGUCUUGGCCAGAGAUGUCACACCAGGAAGGGUUGGUGUGGAGAGACCAUCCUUUCAUCGAGCGUAGUAGUACCAUCGCGAGCGUGUGAGUAUUCUGUCGUCCUGCCUGUAUCAUAAUACAUUGGGAGAAACUAUGCUCCAGCAGAGCUCAUCGGUUUGACAGCACUGUAGGAAAGCGUAGGAAACGGUACCAUACAUAACGUGCUAACUGUAUCACCAUCGAUAAACGGUAUCCUUUACGGCAAUGCCCAUGUCUACAAUUUGUCACAAUCGAUGCUGCGCUCAUAUGGUGGCUUCAUAAAAGAAAAGUUUUUACUUUACUCGA